GAAAGUGGCUCUCAGCGGCCGGUCGGAUUAAAAGUAACCAGACUCGUCCAGAAAACUGCGUCCAGGAAGGAAGUGACAGAAGACGAAUGGGAAAAGGAGAACAGCUCACAGCGUUUGAAACAUCGCGGCACCACUUUCAGAUAAAAACAUAGACCUGAAUGGCAUCAUCCAGUAUCCAAGGAAACCAUUGUGUCUGUAACCAGCUAAUGAGCUGCAACAGAGCCUGGCCUUCAUUUUCAGCAAAUUAAGUUCAUCCCUCAUAGGAAUUGUGGUCUGGCUGUGGCACCGCUCCUAGGUUCUCUAAACAUGAAUAUGCCUUUGGGGGAAGACAGAAGAACAUGGAAGCCAUGUGAAAAAAACGGAUCCUAAGGCUUUUUACCUGUCUGUUGAACUGAGUGAAGGACCCAGAGGCCCUAUGAUGUGGUGUAGCUUCGAGAGAAGGAAGCCUAGAUCCCUGAAUCAUUGUGCAGAACAUACUUAUCCUACAGCCAUAUAGGACUGUUAUAUGAGUAAGCGCUGAAGUUAUUUCUUAGGUUAUUGAACUUUCCAAGCAUAUCUAUUACAUUAAUUAGUGUUACCUCAAUAAAAGCAUGUACUUCACAGAACAAA
rnacentral:lncRNA from 1 species